GUGGGGAUGGCUGAGGACAGUCUCCCCUCCGAGUCCAGCAAGUUUAAGGUCUUGGAAACGGCCUGAGAACUUGACGUCCCAAGAUAUUAACCAGUCUCCAUUUACAGGCAAACUUACACAUUUUGAAGUUGGCCCAGUAAGAGAAACCACCUCACCUACCUUGUCUCGCUAAUAUCCUGGGGCCAACGUGGCUAGUGGCAGUCAUGGUGCAAACCGACAUUGUGCAAGUUCCCCCAGCGUGUCCUCCGGCAUACCCAGCAACUCAUCACAUCACACCCCCUCUCUCAAGGAGAGGGGCCACAGGCCAGAUGGUCCAGCGGGCUCUUGAAAAAGGGACCCAGAAUUCUGCGAGCCGAAUUCAAAUUGAA